GAUGAACGCUGGCGGCGUGCCUAAUACAUGCAAGUCGAGCGAACAGACGAGGAGCUUGCUCCUCUGACGUUAGCGGCGGACGGGUGAGUAACACGUGGAUAACCUACCUAUAAGACUGGGAUAACUUCGGGACACCGGAGCUAAUACCGGAUAAUAUAUUGAACCGCAUGGUUCAAUAGUGAAAGACGGUUUUGCUGUCACUUAUAGAUGGAUCCGCGCCGCAUUAGCUAGUUGGUAAGGUAACGGCUUACCAAGGCAACGAUGAGUAGCCGACCUGAGAGGGUGAUCGGCCACACUGGAACUGAGACACGGUCCAGACUCCUACGGGAGGCAGCAGUAGGGAAUCUUCCGCAAUGGGCGAAAGCCUGACGGAGCAACGCCGCGUGAGUGAUGAAGGUCUUCGGAUCGUAAAACUCUGUUAUUAGGGAAGAACAAAUGUGUAAGUAACUAUGCACGUCUUGACGGUACCUAAUCAGAAAGCCACGGCUAACUACGUG
rnacentral:rRNA from 1 species